GCUGGGGGGCAGGGGCCAUCCCGGGGACAGGCCUGGGUGAGGUUGCCGGGAUGCGGAGCCCGGCCGAGGCUACGGCCAAAGCCACACCUGAGGCCGUCUCGGGCUCUCCACUGUGGGGGCGGCGGCUGCCAUCCUCGAGUCUGUCAGGCCCAGGCUCCUCGAGGGUCCCGAGCCCCAGCUGAAGCUUGAGUUUCUUCUCAGGUGUACUGCCCUCAUGCUUUGGGGGCCAAAGCAGCAGUCCUGACAGCCCUAGGGUGGAGGGGUGUGUGUGUCAUCUCGGGAGCAGUGACUGAGUUCACUUGGCGCAGUGGUCAGCCGAGUUUUUCCCGUCAUCUGCCUUACCCCCACCCACCUCUCUUUCCUCUUUGGCCAAUUUGGAUCGGGAGUUGUUUACCGAUCUAGACUUUAAGUUACAUUCUGCUCAGCUUUUUGCUCCUUGGAAAUCAGCAGCUUUCAAUUAAGGGAAGUGGAGACUGCAUGUAUUUGGGUGACUUAAUACCCAGCUCUUCCUGUAAUGAAUUUGGAGAUCAGAUACAAUGACAUGUAUUUGAGGGGUGAGAUGACUUCUGUUUUAAUAAAGAGAGUUCACCGAAAACAUUCCCAUUUACAUGGUUUUGUCUUUUGUAGCAAAAGAUUUGCACAUAUUUUUGGGUUUCAAGCUGAUGAAGCUUCUGCAUUCCUUCCCUAUUUAGCAGCUUUUUUGAACAAAUCUCACACACAGAGAAGCUCAGGGACUUGGCCACAAUCACAUAGCAAGUAAGAUAUGGUAGGGUUGGUGGUGGAUUUCAGAAUGUUGUUGCUUGUCUUAGAACUAGCCCCCCCCCCCCCCCCCCCCCCGCCCAUCAUUAGGGUCUGAGUAAGACUGACUGAGCUGAUUGAGUCAAAUACAGGCAGUUUCUUGUGCCUGAAAAUCAUCACAGAGCCUUAUAAACAGGUCAGUGGCACAACUUUACUUGGAAAGAAUGAUGAUCAGCAUCCUUGUUUAUUGUGUUUUUGUGAGCUUGGCUAUACUCUGUUAAUAGGUAGAACUCAGUUGGUCUUGAAUUAUAAUUAUGUUCUAUGUAAAGAGGGGGAAAAUUUCUGAUGAAGAGUGUGAGACUAGGUGAAUUGGAAGUGGAAGGAAGACUAUGUGGCCUGUUAUGUAUAAAAAUUUUAAAAAGUUAAUGUGACCACUGGUUUGAAAGUAUAGUACUUUGUGUUCCAAUUUCUCCUUUUGUGAGGGAACUGUAGUACCAGUUAGGUCAGGAGCUUCUGGUUCAAGGCUGAAAGUUUAUCAUUGAGGCUAAAUCUAACCUUAGUGUCUCUUUGUGAAAUAUUCAUUCUACAUAUAUUUGUUUGAGUAUUAGGCAUACUCAUAUACUGAGUAUAGGAACUGGCAUGGCAUGGAUUCUUUCAACAGGGAGCCCGUGGCGUACAUAUCAACUGAAAUAUAAAGUUGAAAGGGUUCAGCACUACAGAAGAGAUAUAGCAACAUCAAGAAACUGGGAAAUACCUGAAGCUGUAGAACUUUCUCUUGUGGUGUGGCUAACCUCCGCUGCUAGAUAGUUCCUUUGAAGAAGCAUGGGACAUGACUUAUUCAUCUUUAUAUUUCUAGUACUUAUCUCAGUCCCAAAUAUAUGAUAGAUUCGUACAUUUACUGUUAACAAAUAUUCUUUGAGCGCCCUCUGUGCACUGGGAUUUGAGUGAUGAAUAAGACAGACAAAAUUGCUGCCAUGAGAGUGUGUGUAUGUAUACACAUAUAUACAUAUCCGGUAGUAACAAGUGCUGUGAAGAAAAUGGCAGGGUAAGGGGAUGGAGAUGAGGAGAGAGAGAGGGUGGGUGUGCUAUUAUAUGUUAGAUCAGAUGGUUAAGGAAGGGUUCUGUGAGGAGGUGACAUUUGAGUAGAGACCUGAGUGAAGUGAGGGAGAGAGCCAUGUGAAUAGCUGGGGGAAGGCAUUGUAGGCAGAGGGAAUAGCAAGAGCAAAGACCUUAGUGUGUUCUUUUUUUUUUUUCUUUUUAAGUAGACUCAAUGCCCAGUGUGGAGCGCAGUGCAGGGCUUGAACUCACGACCCUGAGAUUAAGAUCUGAGCAGAUCAAGAGUCAGACGCUUAAUCAACAACUGAGCCACCCAGGCGCCCCUAAAGAUUUUAUUUUUAAGUAAUCUGUAUACCCAGUAUGGGGCUCGAACUCACAACCCUGAGAUCAAGAGCUGCAUGCUCCCCCAAGUGAGCCAGCUAGGUGCCCCCCUAGGGUGUUCAAAGAAUAGCAAGAAAGCUAGUGUGGCUAGACUGCAGUUAAAGAAGGGGAGCAUAGUAAAAAAAGAAGUCAGGGAGGUAGCCAGGGAUCAUUAUCAUUUAGGGUCUUGAUGCUUACUAAAUAGUAUAUUUGAAUGAGUGAAGUUUUUCUACCGUCUUUGAAGUCUUCCUCCCUCAUUCUUCCUGUACUAUGUGGUACCUACCACAUCUUAUGACCCUAGGUAGUAUCAGUUGGAAUUCUUCCCUUAGGGUUCUUUGGUGAGGAAUUGGGAAUUUGAAAUUGGCAGGGUAACACUGUUUCUACCCUGUUAGUCAGGUUAAUGACUUCCCCAAAUCUCUCCAAGACAUGGUGGUUUUACUAAGUAUACACUCUGAAUGUGAACUCACAGACAUAUACCCAAGUCCAUAUAGACCUGCAGGAACUCUACCCAUUGAAAAUUUGAGAGAAUAGCUGUUCUUUUUUCUCAGCUGUUCAGCCACAGAUGUGGGUUUGGAAUUGCCGAGCAUAUCAGCUGAAAUAUGGCAGGCCACCACGUGGGUUGUUAUAGAUACAGCUAGGGUUGACUGCCUGGUACAGAAAGGGUUGUUAUCAAUAUGUGUGGGGUACAGAAGAAAUGUACUUGGCUCUGCCUAUUAUGGAGUGGAGGGUCUGGGCAAGUAUUGCUGUGUCAGAUAUAGGAAAAAACCUAAUAGCCUCCAAGUUAUCUCUGAAGAGAUUAAAGAACAGCAUUUCUCUUUAAUGUUACUUAUUUAUUGCUAUGGGGUUUUUUUUAACUAAAAAAAUGAAAGGCAGUUGAAUUUUUAAAACCAAUUAUCAUGAAAUCCCAUAGGUGGUUCUUUCAAAGUUAUUUUCACAUUUGCCGUUUGCUUUUUAUUUCAUUGCCAUCUCUUAAAUCUUCAUGAUCUCAACAUCUGUAUUACAGCAGCAUACUCUCAGUGUCUCUCUUUCCAUUCUUAUUCAUCCCGAUAAUGCUAUCAGUAGUAUGUCUAAAAUCCUGUUUGGAUUAUACCACUCACCUUCUCAAGGGCCUGCAGUGGCUCUCUCAUGUCUGCUGCAUCAGAUUUUAAUUUCCCACCUUGUUUUCAUUCUCUGUCAUCUUUUUUUGUAACAUUUUAAUUUUAAGCAAUCUCUAUGACCAGUGUUGGGCCCAGACCUACAACCCUGAGAUCAAAAGUCACACACUCUCCCACCUGAGCCAGCCAGGUGCUCACUCUCUGUUAUCUUAACCCAGAUUAGGCAUAUUGUCUACUUCUCUUCACCCUUUGCCAUAGGCAGGGCUGUUUUUCUUAACAUCCUUAAACACUUGUUUUUGCUACAAGUUUUUGCUCAUUCUGUUCCUCCUUUCUUUAGUAUCUUUCCCUAACUUGUUAGCUAUCUAAAUUAUACAAAUCCUCUGAGUUGUGCUUAAAUCCUGCCCCUUGUAACUAAGCCUACCUUUGAUUUUGAAAGAAAGUGAAGUCAGGAAGAGCAUGGGCUUUAGGGUCAGCAGUUCUGUGACUGAGUCCUUGCCCCUCUAUGCACGGUUAACUCUACGCACUAUUUCCCCUUUUUGUCUGUAACCCUAUCUGUAAAAAUGAAUAGAAUUUUUUUUUAGAUUUAUUUAUGUAUCUGAGAGAGAGAGAGCGAGCGGGGGAAGGGCAGAGGGAGAGAGAGUCCCAAGUAGACUCACCACUGAGCGUGGAGCCCAAAGCAGGGCUUGAUCUCAGGACCCUGAGAUCAUGACCUGAGCCAAAAUCAAGGGUUUGCCACUUAACUGACUGAGCCACCCAGGCACCCCAUGAAUAGAAUUAUUAAAAUGGGGUGUUUAUUUUUUCAAGAUUUUAUUUAUUCAUUUGAGACACAGAGAUACAGAGAGAGCACGAGCAGGGGAAGAGGCAGAGGGAGAGGGAGAAGCAGACUCCCUGCUGAGCCAGGAGCCCAAUAUGGGGCUCGAUCCCAGGACCCCGGGAUCAUGACCUGAGCUGAAGGCAGACGCUUAACCAUCUGAGCCACCCAGGCGCCCCUAGAAUGGGGUGUUUAAAAGUAGAGUGACUGGCACAUAGUAGACAUUCAGUAAAUGGUGAUAUUAUUUGGUUGAGUCUCUUGCCCUACUAUGGUUUAGUAAUUAGGUGAGCAGGCUCAGGAGUCAGACUACCUGGGUUUGAAUCCUAAUCUGCUUCUUACUACCUGUGUAAACAUACUGCUUUAUCUCUCUGUUUCUUAAUUUCCUCAUCUAUAAAGUAGGGUUAAAAAUAAUAUCUACUUCAUAGGGUUGUGAGAAUUAAAUGAUGUAAUUAUGUAAAGUGCUUAAAACAGUGCCUGCAACAUAGUAAUUGUUUAAGAAAUGUUGGUUAUCCUUUUGUCAUUGUUGUUUCUUUGAAUUUGCAAGCACUUUUCAUUCACAGUUUAACACUUCUAUUCGGUAUUCUUUAAUUAAUUAUUUUUGACCUUGUCAUUUUAACUAGAGAGAUUACUUUUAGUUUUCUGGGGAUAGAAACA